rnacentral:rRNA from 1 species
ACGGGUUGUUGCUGGCCCCCAAACCGGGCACGUGCACGCCCUGUUUACGCAUCCACUCACACCUGUGCACCCUCUGUAGUUCUGUGGACCGGGAGACGUCGUCUUCCUUCCGUGGCUCUACGUCUUUACACACACGCCGUAGCGAAGUCUCAUGGAAUGUUUUUCGCGUUUAACGCAAUACAAUACAACUUUCAGCAACGGAUCUCUUGGCUCUCGCAUCGAUGAAGAACGCAGCGAAAUGCGAUAAGUAAUGUGAAUUGCAGAAUUCAGUGAAUCAUCGAAUCUUUGAACGCACCUUGCGCCCCUUGGUUAUUCCUCGGGGCAUGCCUGUUUGAGUAUCAUGAACACCUCAACUCUCGUGGUCUUCCAUGAUGAGCUUGGACUUUGGGGGUUUGCUGGCCCUGUGGCCGGCUCCUCUCAAACGAAUCAGCUUGCCAGUGUUUGGCGGCGUCACGGGUGUGAUAACCAUCUACGCUUGCGAUCGCCUGCCAGAUAACCCUCAGCGAUGAAGGUUCAUUGGGGCUCACAAAAGUCUCUCCACGGCGAGGACGAAUUUUGAAUGUUCGAUCUCAAAUCAGGUAGGACUACCCGCUGAACUUAAGCAUAUCAAUAAGCGGAGGAAAAGAAACUAACAAGGAUUCCCCUAGUAACUGCGAGUGAAGCGGGAAGAGCUCAAAUUUAAAAUCUGGCGUGCCUCCGGUCGUCCGAAUUGUAGUCUGGAGAAGCGUUUUCCGUGCUGGACGGUA